GAAGAACAGGGGGGGCGAUCCCCACACAUCAAAACCCUAAAUCUUCACCAAACUUGCAAAUUGAAGGCUCAAUCCAAGUCAAAAUCGAAAAUCAAGCAUAGAUUAUUGAUCCCCAUUGCAAGAGGGUUGUAAGGAUAAACGAGGAAUUUUAAAUGAAUUUUUCCUUUGUCGCCUAACGAGCUAGGUGGAGGCUUGGGAAAGAAGCGGUCAAACGAAUCAAGCACGAGAAGAAAAGCAUAUUCGGAUGCGAGGUAAGUGGAGCUUACGCCCCUUUACAUUUCUUGCAAAAUUACUUAAUUUCAAGUAUUGCAUAUGAAUGCUACUAAGUGUUGGUAUACAAUGUUCCGACACGAUUCAAUGAGAGUCGGAACAAGGGAAAAUGGUAAGAAAUCAUGAAUCAUGGUAAAAGGAGUAAAAAGGUAAAUUAGUCAUGUAAUGACGAACAAAUAAAAACGGUUUUAAGUAACACAAGUUGAAGGAAAACCGGGUUAGGUUUAAAGGGAUGAAAUGGUAACUAAGUACCAUCUCAUAUGGAUAAAUGGCAAAUUAGACUAAAUGGGUCAAAUGGCGUUGUUAGCACCAUUUGACAAUUACAUUUGACAAUCGCUUGUUGAGUUUUGUAAUCACAGGAAAUAACAUAAGUAUGCGUUGCUUAAACUAGAAAGCUUUAAAGCAAAAGUUAUGUAAACGGGUCAAUACCUUGACCCGAGCCAGGUACGUUUAAAUAUGCUUUUGGUUAAACAUACAAUUUUUGGUCAAAUAUUUAGCGAAAGUCCUUCGUCGUAUAGUGAUUCAUAUUCGUGGGUCAAAUGCUCAAAAACGGUCAUUUGCGUAAAAUGAUCAACCAAUGGGUAAAUUUGGGAAAAAGGGAUUCAUUAUGUUAAAUCCGCCACAAAAUAGUUGUGGUGGAAUAUUUGUAGUUAAUUAGACAUGGACUUUCGUGGCGUCAAAAGAAAAGCACAAGUUCUAGACUAAAAUGCGUAAAUACCUCAAACGGGUCAAAAUAAGCAUAUGGGUGAAAUGGAAUAAAGAAGGUAUAUAAUUCUAUAAUCGGAUUUUAACACUAUAUGACGGAGAAUCAAAUUUUAAACAUGCAGGAAGAAACGGUAAGUCAAAUGGAUAAGCGGUUUGAAAGAUACGAAAGAUUUCGUGUCAAAUUACGGCAAAAUGGAAAAGUUGCAUACAGGGUGCCACCGUAAGUUACGGUGGAGCUGAUAUGGUUACGGUGGUAACCUACUGUUGUACGGUAGAAGAGUAUGAACGCAGGGGCCACCGUAACUUACGGUGCCACCGUAAGGCACCGUAAGUUACGGUGGAGAUUAUUUUUCAAGUCCUUGUUUUUCUUUUGAACAUCAAUUGUUUCCCGUACUCGUUUGGACAUGAUUUAAACCCCGUAAGACUAAAGCAUUUCAUGUUUAUGAAAUGUAGGUACACUUUGGGAUGCCGGAAGACGAUCAAGCUCAACGAAGAACCGAACACACCAUAGAUACACGCUUCCGCACUUCGCUAUGUUGAAAAUUUUAAACAACGAAUUCAACCACGUGAUGUAGAAUAACUUAUGAUUUGUAAAAGUUUUAGUAAACCCGUAUUUCCGAUGUAUAU
rnacentral:lncRNA from 1 species